rnacentral:rRNA from 1 species
UACAGAGGUCCCGAGCGUUGUUCGGAUUCAUUGGGCGUAAAGGGCGCGUAGGCGGCUUGGCAAGUCAAAGGUGAAAUCCCUCGGCCUAACCGAGGAACUGCCUUUGAAACUGCUUGACUUGAGGCCGGGAGAGGGUAGCGGAAUUCCCAGUGUAGCGGUGAAAUGCGUAGAUAUUGGGAGGAACACCAGUGGCGAAGGCGGCUACCUGGACCGGUUCUGACGCUGAGGCGCGAAAGCGUGGGGAGCAAACAGG